rnacentral:rRNA from 1 species
UACGUAGGGGGCGAGCGUUGUCCGGAUUUAUUGGGCGUAAAGAGCGUGUAGGCGGCCAGGUAGGUCUGCUGUGAAAACUCAGGGCUCAACCCGGAGACGCCAUCUGAUACUGCGGUGACUGGAGUCUGGUAGGGGAACACGGAAUUCCUGGUGUAGCGGUGAAAUGCGCAGAUAUCAGGAGGAACACCGAUGGCGAAGGCAGUGUUCUGGGCCAGUACUGACGCUGAGGAGCGAAAGCGUGGGGAGCAAACAGG